UGGGGAAUAUUGCACAAUGGGGGAAACCCUGAUGCAGCGACGCCGCGUGAGCGAAGAAGGCUUUCGAGUCGUAAAGCUCUGUCCUAUGAGAAGAUAAUGACGGUAUCAUAGGAGGAAGCCCUGGCUAAAUACGUGCCAGCAGCCGCGGUAAUACGUAGGGGGCAAGCGUUGUCCGGAAUUAUUGGGCGUAAAGCGCGCGCAGGUGGUUUAGAAAGUCUGAUGUGAAAGCCCACGGCUCAACCGUGGAGGGUCAUUGGAAACUAAUAAACUUGAGUGCAGGAGAGAAAAGUGGAAUUCCUAGUGUAGCGGUGAAAUGCGUAGAGAUUAGGAGGAACACCGGUGGCGAAAGCGGCUUUUUGGCCUGCAACUGACACUGAGGCGCGAAAGCGUGGGGAGCAAACAGG
rnacentral:rRNA from 1 species